GAGUUUGAUCCUGGCUCAGAGCGAACGCUGGCGGCAGGCCUAACACAUGCAAGUCGAGCGGACGUAGCAAUACGUCAGCGGCAGACGGGAGAGUAACACGUGGGAACGCGCCCUUCGGUUCGGGAUAACUCAGGGAAACUUGGGCUAAUACCGGAUACGCCCUUACGGGGAAAGAUUUAUUGCCGAAGGAACGGCCCGCGUCCGAUUAGCUUGUUGGUGAGGUAACGGCUCACCAAGGCGACGAUCGGUAGCUGGUCUGAGAGGAUGACCAGCCUCACUGGGACUGAGACACGGCCCAGACUCCUACGGGAGGCAGCAGUGGGGAAUAUUGGACAAUGGGCGCAAGCCUGAUCCAGCCAUGCCGCGUGGGUGAUGAAGGCCCUAGGGUUGUAAAGCUCUUUCAACGGUGAAGAUAAUGACGGUAACCGUAGAAGAAGCCCCGGCUAACUUCGUGCCAGCAGCCGCCGCGGUAAC
rnacentral:rRNA from 1 species